GUCAGGAUGGCCGAGCGGUCUAAGGCGCCAGACUCAAGCACAUCGCUUGCCGGUAACUCCGGUAUGAGAGGAAUUCUGGUCUUCGAUAGAAGGCGUGGGUUCAAAUCCCACUUCUGACA
rnacentral:tRNA from 1 species